rnacentral:rRNA from 1 species
UACGGGGGGGGCAAGCGUUGUUCGGAAUUACUGGGCGUAAAGGGCUCGUAGGCGGCCAACUAAGUCGGAUGUGAAAUCCCCAGGCUCAACUUGGGAACUGCAUCCGAUACUGGAUGGCUUGAAUUCGGGAGAGGGAUGCAGAAUUCCAGGUGUAGCGGUGAAAUGCGCAGAUAUCAGGAAGAACACCCGUGGCGAAGGCGGCUCUCUGGGACGGUACUGACGCUGAGGAGCGAAAGCGUGGGGAGCGAACAGG